AGCGUGCACGGUGGAUGCCUUGGCAGUCAGAGGCGAUGAAGGACGUGGUAAUCUGCGAUAAGCGUUGGUAAGCCGAUAAACAGGCUGUGACCCAGCGAUUUCCGAAUGGGGAAACCCACUCACAUAAGUGAGUAUUCCAGUGCUGAAUACAUAGGCGCUGGGAGGCGAACCCGGGGAACUGAAACAUCUAAGUACCCGGAGGAAAAGAAAUCAAUUGAGAUUCCCCUAGUAGCGGCGAGCGAACGGGGAUUAGCCCUUAAGUUUAUUAUGGUUUAGCGGAACGCUCUGGAAAGUGCGGCAACAAAGGGUGAUAGCCCCGUACGCGAAAGGCCAUUUUAAGUGAAAUCGAGUAGGUCGGGACACGAGAAAUCUUGACUGAACCGUCUUCGGACAAGGGGGGACCAUCCUCCAAGGCUAAAUACUACUUACUGACCGAUAGUGAACAAGUACCGUGAGGGAAAGGCGAAAAGAACCCCGUUGAGGGGAGUGAAAUAGACCCUGAAACCGUGUACGUACAAGCAGUGGGAGCAGACUUGUUCUGUGACUGCGUACCUUUUGUAUAAUGGGUCAGCGACUUACAUUCUGUGGCAAGGUUAACCGCAUAGGGUAGCCGUAGGGAAACCGAGUCUUAAUAGGGCGAACAUAGUCGCAGGGUGUAGACCCGAAACCGGGCGAUCUAGCCAUGAGCAGGUUGAAGACCAGGUAACACUGGUUGGAGGACCGAACCCACCGUCUUUGAAAAGCCGGGGGAUGACUUGUGGCUAGGAGUGAAAGGCUAAUCAAGCCCGGAGAUAGCUGGUUCUCCUCGAAAGCUAUUUAGGUAGCGCCUCGUGUCUCACCAUUGGGGGUAGAGCACUGUUUGGGCUAGGGGGUCAUCCCGACUUACCAACCCCAUGCAAACUCCGAAUACCAAUGAGUGCAAUCACGGGAGACACACGGCGGGUGCUAACGUCCGUCGUGGAAAGGGAAACAACCCAGACCGUCAGCUAAGGUCCCAAAGUAAUAGUUAAGUGGGAAACGAUGUGAGAAGGCCCAGACAGCCAGGAGGUUGGCUUAGAAGCAGCCAUUCCUUUAAAAAGUGCGUAAUAGCUUACUAGUCUAGUUAUUUUGCGUCGAAAAUUCAACGGGGCUCAAGCAUAGUGCCGAAGAUGUGGAUUUAUCGUAAAAGAUAAAUGGUAGAGGAACGUUCCGUAAGUCUGUGAAGGAAAACUGAAAAGUUUUCUGGAGAUAUCGGAAGUGAGAAUGCCGGUAUGAGUAACGAAAAAACAGGAAAAAAACCUGUUCGCCGAAAACCUAAGGUUUUCUGGGUAAAGUUAAUCUGCUCAGAGUUAGUCGGCCCCUAAGGCAAUGCUGAAAAGCGUAGCCGAUGGGAAACUGGUUAAUAUUCCAGUACCUUUUUUUAGUGUGAAGGAGCGAAGCUAUUUUAAACGAUUUGCGUACAGAUGGUGAUACGUUUAAGUUCAAUCUGGGAAGAACUAAAAAUCUUCAAAAAGGAAAGAACAAAUAUGACAGGCUUUUAAAUGGGUCUGGAAAAAUCGUGAUAGAUGGUCGAGAAAAACUUCUAAGCGUAAUUAAAAAAAGACCGUACUAUAAACCGACACAGGUGGGUGGGGUGAGUAUCCUCAGGCGCUCGAGUGAAAUCUCGUUAAGGAACUCGGCAAAAUGCCUCCGUAUCUUAGGUAGAAGGAGGGCCUUAUCAAAAAGGUUGCAAAGAAAUGAUCCAGUCGACUGUUUAACAAAAACACAGGUCUGUGCAUAACAUGAAAAUGGAAGUAUACGGACUGACACCUGCCCGGUGCCGUAAGGUUAAGGAAGGGGAUAAUUUAGGAAACUAAAGAAGUUCUUGACUGAAGCCCCGGUAAACGGCGGCGGUAACUAUGACCGUCCUAAGGUAGCUUAAUUCCUUGUCGGGUAAGUUCCGACCUGCACGAAUGGUGUAACGAACUGGGUACUGUCUCAACGAGAAGCUCGGUGAAAUUGCAAUAUCAGUGAAGAUGCUGAUUAUCUGUGACAGGACGAAAAGACCCCGGAACCUUUACUAUAGCUUGGUAUUGAAUUUGGGUAAUGUUUGUGUAGAAUAAGUGGGAGACGAAGAAGUAAGGACGUCAGUUUUUAUGGAGUCAAAAGUGAAAUACCACUCUGACUUUAUUGAAAUUCUAAUCUUGAUUCAUAAUGUGGAAAGGAGACAAUGCCUGGCGGGUAGUUUGACUGGGGCGGUCGCCUCCUAAAAUGUAACGGAGGCGCGCAAAGGUUUCCUCAAUACGGUUGGAAAUCGUAUGAAGAGUGUAAAGGCAAAAGGAAGCUUGACUGUAAGAGAGACAUCUCGAACAGAUGCGAAAGCAGGCCUUAGUGAUCCGGCGAUAACGAAUGGAAGUGUCGUCGCGCAACGAAUAAAAGGUACUCCGGGGAUAACAGAGUUAUCUCCCCCAAGAGUUCACAUCGACGGGGAGGUUUGCUACCUCGAUGUCGGCUUAUCGCAUCCUGGGGCUGAAGAAGGUCCCAAGGGUUUGGCUGUUCGCCAAUUAAAGCGCUACGCGAGCUGGGUUCAGAACGUCGUGAGACAGUUUGGUCUCUAUCCGUCACAGGCGUAGGAUAUUUGAGGAGAUCUGCUCCUAGUACGAGAGGACCGGAGUGGGUAUGCCGCUGGUGUACUAGUUGUUUUGCCAGAAGCACAGCUAGGUAGCUAAGCAUAUAAAGGAUAACCGCUGAAAGCAUCUAAGUGGGAAGCCUACUUCAAGACUAGAUAUCCCUGAUUGA
rnacentral:rRNA from 1 species